rnacentral:rRNA from 2 species
UACGGAGGGUGCAAGCGUUAAUCGGAAUUACUGGGCGUAAAGCGCGCGUAGGCGGUUGGAUAAGUCAGCUGUGAAAGCCCCGGGCUCAACCUGGGAACUGCAUUUGAUACUGUCCGACUUGAGUAUGGUAGAGGGGGGUGGAAUUCCCGGAGUAGCGGUGAAAUGCGUAGAUAUCGGGAGGAACACCAGUGGCGAAGGCGGCCCCCUGGACCAAUACUGACGCUGAGGUGCGAAAGCGUGGGGAGCAAACAGG